rnacentral:misc_RNA from 1 species
GAAGUGCGAUAAGCAAUGCGAAUUGCAGAACCGUGAGUCAUCAGAUUUUUGAACGCAUCUGGCGCCGGCUGGCUCUCCAGCCGGCAUGCUUGUUUCAGUGUCUUGUUUUCUCCUCACCCAAAUCUUAAUGCGAGAGAUACCCUUCUCUUGUCAAGCAAGAAAGCACUCUGCGCUCUGCGAGCGACUUCGACUUGUUCGAGGGUCGCACUCAAUGCAGCAGUCACAUUGCUCACAAUGUGAACUCAUUGAGAGCAGAGGCAGUGCAGCAUCCGCUGCCAGUGCUUAGACACGCCAACUUUCUUUGCAUCUGAAAUCAAGCAGGAUCACCCGCUGAACUUAA